GAUGAACGCUGGCGGCGUGCCUAGUACAUGCAAGUCGAGCGAACGGACGAGAAGCUUGCUUCUCUGAUGUUAGCGGCGGACGGGUGAGUAACACGUGGAUAACCUACCUAUAAGACUGGGAUAACUUCGGGAAACCGGAGCUAAUACCGGAUGAUAUUUUGAACCGCAUGGUUCAAAAGUGAAAGACGGUCUUGCUGUCACUUAUAGAUGGAUCCGCGCUGCAUUAGCUAGUUGGUAAGGUAACGGCUUACCAAGGCAACGAUGCAUAGCCGACCUGAGAGGGUGAUCGGCCACACUGGAACUGAGACACGGUCCAGACUCCUACGGGAGGCAGCAGUAGGGAAUCUUCCGCAAUGGGCGAAAGCCUGACGGAGCAACGCCGCGUGAGUGAUGAAGGUCUCCGGAUCGUAAAACUCUGUUAUUAGGGAAGAACAUAUGUGUAAGUAACUGUGCACAUCUUGACGGUACCUAAUCAGAAAGCCACGGCUAACUACGUG
rnacentral:rRNA from 1 species